CUUGCUUCUCUCAGAUAGUCUGUCUGUAAAUAUUUUGAAUUUUUAGACUCCAAAUUUAAUCCUCUCAAAAGCUAGAAAGAGAUAAUAUUUAGUUUAACAAAAAUCAAGUUAUAUAUCUUCUGAGAUAUUUACUUUUCUGGAAAAGGCUCUUGACCUUCACUUUGUGUUAUCCUAGGUCUGCUUCCAAUGUAAUCUUUAAGAUUUCAGCAACUGUUAUAUGUUUAUGACACAGUAGUGCCUGGAAGCCUCAAUUGCUCUCUUACAUAUGAGUGCACCUCAUAUCUGCAGUGUGAGAACUUCUGAAGGACAUGCUAAAGACAUUGUGCUUUGAAAACACAAAGUAGCCAGUUUGGGUUAACUGGAGAGGAAAAGACUUGAAGCCUUCAGCCUGAAAAAUAUUCUGACCAUACUGAAAUAAGUGGUAAAUCCCACUGAUUCUGUAGAUAUGAAAUUCCAGCUGCAACUUUCUUCCAAUCUCACUGGAAGGAAUACGUGUGAAGCAGGGCGGAAAGGCAGAUGAAGAGAAAGACAGCUUCUGUGCUAUAUGGUUCAUUGGCUUCAGAGUUUUUCAGAUGACAUUUUAAGAAAGAAAGAUCAUAAUCUGUGUUUUCAAGGUACUUUGAUUGUUUAUUUGUUUCUUAAACAGAGGCAGGCUACAACAUUUCUGAAAGCCAUCUGAAAAUGCUGAAGAAAGGAGUAAGUGAGUGAGCCUGUGGAAAAGACUGUCUGUCAAGCUCAGAAGAAUGAACAAGGAUUCUCGAUUUCUGAAGACUGAAUUCUUCAUGUAGUGUUGGCCUUAUGUAGCAUGGAAGUUUCAGGCUCCAAACCCUAUCAUGUUUUCCUGGUAUCCUUAUAAGCCAGAUAGGAAUUACAUUUUGUGAUACACACUGCUAUUGAAUCAGAGAGAGAUGCUGCUCAAUUUUUCCUCACAUUGUGCAUGGAAAGAAGAGAAAACCGGCAGAUAAUCGAUACACUUCAGAGUGUGGUGAAUUAGAUUGAUAACGUACAUGAUGUGAAGAAUUAAGAAAGUCAUAGUCUGUCGGCAUGGGUAGGAACAGAGUAAAUGAUCCUUAACCACUGGAAAACAACGAGCUAGAAAUUCAGACUUAGAAGGCUGCUGAACACCUAUCUUCAAUAUGAAUUGUGAAAAUAUAAAACUGCACUGUAAAGAUGUACAGUAUUGUGGCAUGAAUACUGUAAGACUAUCCUCCUCCAAAACUUUUUACUUCGUCUAAGAGCACUGUUGGUGACUUUUCUCAUUUUUAACACACUGACUAUGAACAGUUUUUGCCACUAGUUGCUGGGCCCUGAUUUUCACAGCAAGAGGGAUCUAUGCUACCCAACAAAGAAGAUGGGGGGUAAACCAUGCUGAUAAUACUGGGUUGGUUAUUUCAGUGACUAGAGUGAAUGUCAUGGCUCAGACAAAUAGCUCCAGACACAGCCACAAUUUAGCAAUUACUGCACGCAACUAUAAUGCUAAGCCUUCACCGGGAAAGGAAAAUUAAAGGGCUGCAAGUUCAGUGAAUAAAUCCAGGCAUUAAUAUGUAAUCUUUUCAGCUGAAGGAAAAUACGAGUGCCAGACAACAAUGGCAUGACACUAGGGAGAUUUUGUUCAAAAUUAAUCUUAUUUCAUCAAUUCAUAGCUAAUUUGAUAUACAGUGUUCUUGUCUGAGUAUUCAGAAGUAUUUUGGAACUUGCAUUAUUCCUCUCUUAUCAGAGGAAGAAUUAGUUUUGUGAAAAACCGCAGCUUGCCAAGUGACUUGUAUCUGAUUAUUUCUUUGAUUUUAUCCAAGAAAAAUGAACAAAAAUCACUUAAGAUACUUACA